rnacentral:rRNA from 1 species
UACGUAGGGUGCAAACGUUAUCCGGAGUUACUGGGCGUAAAGGGCGUGUAGGCGGUUUGUUAAGUCUGGCGUGAAAGCUCUCGGCUAAACCGGGAGAGGUCGUUGGAUACUGGCGAACUAGAGGAUGGUAGAGGCGUGUGGAAUUCCGGGUGUAGUGGUGAAAUGCGUAGAGAUCCGGAGGAACACCAGUGGCGAAGGCGACACGCUGGGCCAUACCUGACGCUAAAGCGCGACAGCAUGGGGAGCAAACGGG